GUUUUCCUUCUUGUCCUAGAUCAGGCUUUAAGCUGAGAAAUACCGUGCCUCAUGAAUACACAAACAACCUGAGGUCUUCUGAGAUAAAUAUAGAUGUGUUGGUUGCCUGCAAGCAUCACCCAACAACCACAUCCCUCCUCUGAAGAAGCCCCAGUGGGCAGAGCUCAUCACCAUGGACUGGACCUGGAGGAUCCUCUUCUUGGUGGCAGCAGCUACAGGUGCCCAGUCCCAGGUGCAGCUGGUGCAGUCUGGGGCUGAGGUGAAGAAGCCUGAGGCCUCGGUGAAGGUCUCCUGCAAGGCUUCUGGAUACGCCUUCACCAGCUAUGGUGUAGGCUGGGUGCGACAGGCCUCUGGACAAGGGCUCGAGUGGAUGGGAGGAAUCAACACCAACACUGGUGGCACAAGCUAUGCACAGAAGUUCCAGGGCAGAGUCACCAUGACCAGGGACACGUCCACGAGCACAGCCUACAUGGAGCUGAGCAGCCUGAGAUCUGAGGACAUGGCCAUUUAUUACUGUGCGAAAGACACAGUGUGAAAACCACAUUGUGAGAGUGUCAGAAACCCUGAGGGAGGAGGCAGCUGUGCUGAGCUGAGGCGAUGACAGGGGUUAUUAAGUUCAAGGCUGUUUACAAACUGGGUUAUAUAUUUGAGAGAAAAUAACAGUGGAAACAAGUGCACACUCUCAUUUUAAGAGAAAUAUUCCAUUCAAGAGUCAUCAUAUAAGCCAAAUUCACAGAGUGGGAAAGGCCACACUUAAUACAGUUGAUGCAGACAUUCCAUGAAGGUGCUGCUUUGAACAUGUUUUUAAAUUAGAUGAAUUAAUUAUCUGCAGCAAGCUUAUCUGAUCAUGUGGUAAGACUAAAUAUGAUUCUUAAAAAGUGGCUAAAAUUUCUUUCAAAUGUUUCUGUCACUCCUUAUCAUAAAAUUUAUUUUAGAGCA